AACGAACGCUGGCGGCAUGCCUAACACAUGCAAGUCGAACGAUGCCUUCGGGCAUAGUGGCGCACGGGUGCGUAACGCGCGGGAAUCUGCCUUUCGGUUCGGAAUAACUCAGGGAAACUUGAGCUAAUACCGGAUAACGUCGCGAGACCAAAGAUUUAUCACCGAAAGAUGAGCCCGCGUAGGAUUAGCUAGUUGGUGAGGUAAAGGCUCACCAAGGCGACGAUCCUUAGCUGGUCUGAGAGGAUGAUCAGCCACACUGGGACUGAGACACGGCCCAGACUCCUACGGGAGGCAGCAGUGGGGAAUAUUGGACAAUGGGCGAAAGCCUGAUCCAGCAAUGCCGCGUGAGUGAUGAAGGCCUUAGGGUUGUAAAGCUCUUUUACCCGGGAAGAUAAUGACGGUACCGGGAGAAUAAGCCCCGGCUAACUCCGUG
rnacentral:rRNA from 1 species